rnacentral:rRNA from 1 species
AGUUGUAGAAUCACUGGUGAAUAAGGGGUGGGCAAGUUCUGGUGUCAGCCGCCGCGGUAAAACCAGCACCUCGAGUGGUCAGGAGGUUUAUUGGGCCUAAAGCAUCCGUAGCCGGUUGCAUAAGUUUUCGGUUAAAUCUAUGCGCUUAACGUAUAGGCCGCCGAAAAUACUGUGCAGCUAGGGAGUGGGAGAGGUACACGGUACUCGAUAGGAAGGGGUAAAAUCCUUUGAUCUAUUGAUGACCACCUGUGGCGAAGGCGGUGUACCAGAACACGUUCGACGGUGAGGGAUGAAAGCUGGGGGAGCAAACCGGAUUAGAUACCCGGGUAGUCCCAGCUGUAAACGAUGCAGACUCGGUGAUGCAUUGGCUUGUGGCCAAUGCAGUGCCGCAGGGAAGCCGUUAAGUCUGCCGCCUGGGAAGUACGUACGCAAGUAUGAAACUUAAAGGAAUUGGCGGGGGAGCACCACAAGGGGUGAAGCCUGCGGUUCAAUUGGAGUCAACGCCAGAAAUCUUACCUGGGGAGACAGCAGAAUGAAGGUCAAGCUGAAGACUUUACCAGACACGCUGAGAGGUGGUGCAUGGCCGUCGCCAGCUCGUGCCGUGAGAUGUCCUGUUAAGUCAGGUAACGAGCGAGACCCCUGCGUCUAGUUGCUACCAUUACUCUCUGGAGCAGUGGAGCGAAUUAGACGGACCGCCACAGUUAAUGUGGAGGAAGGAAGGGGCCACGGCAGGUCAGUAUGCCCCGAAACCCUAGGGCUACACGCGGGCUGCAAUGGUAUUGACAUGUGUUCCGAAUCCGAAAGGAGGAGGCAAUCAUCAAACAAUAUCUCAGUUAUGACUGAGG